AGAUUGAACGCUGGCGGCAGGCCUAACACAUGCAAGUCGAGCGGUAGAGAGGUGCUUGCAUCUCUUGAGAGCGGCGGACGGGUGAGUAAUGCCUGGGAAUCUGCCUAGUGGUGGGGGGAUAACGUUCGGAAACGGACGCUAAUACCGCAUACGUCCUACGGGAGAAAGCGGGGGACCUUCGGGCCUCGCGCCAUUAGAUGAGCCUAGGUUGGAUUAGCUAGUUGGUGAGGUAAUGGCUCACCAAGGCGACGAUCCGUAACUGGUCUGAGAGGAUGAUCAGUCACACUGGAACUGAGACACGGUCCAGACUCCGUACGGGAGCAGCGAGGUGGGAAUAGUUGGACAAGUGGGACGAAAGCCUAGACUCCGAGCCAGUGCCGUCGUGUGUAGAAGAAGGUUCUUCGGUAA
rnacentral:rRNA from 1 species